UACGUAGGGUGCAAGCGUUGUCCGGAAUUAUUGGGCGUAAAGAGCUCGUAGGCGGUCUGUCGCGUCGGUCGUGAAAACUUGGGGCUUAACCCUGAGCUUGCGGUCGAUACGGGCAUGACUGGAGUUCGGCAGGGGAGACUGGAAUUCCUGGUGUAGCGGUGAAAUGCGCAGAUAUCAGGAGGAACACCGGUGGCGAAGGCGGGUCUCUGGGCAGUAACUGACGCUGAGGAACGAAAGCGUGGGUAGCGAACAGG
rnacentral:rRNA from 1 species